rnacentral:lncRNA from 1 species
CGACGACGAGCAGUACGUGUGGGAGUCCCAGGCCGGCGGGUCCUUCACCGUCACGCAUGACACCACGGGGGAGCGACUCGGCCGGGGCACCAAGAUCACGCUCUUCCUCAAGGACGACCAGCUCGAGUACCUGGAGGAGCGCCGCCUCAAGGACCUCGUCAAGAAGCACUCGGAGUUCAUCAGCUACCCCAUCUACCUGUGGACGGAGAAGACCACCGAGAAGGAGAUCAGUGACGACGAGGAGGAGGACAACAAGAAGGAGGAGGAGGGCGACGUCGAGGAGGUGGACGACGAGGACAAGGACGCCAAGGAUAAGAGCAAAAAGAAGAAGAAGGUGAAGGAGGUGAGCCACGAGUGGGUGCAGAUCAACAAGCAGAAGCCCAUCUGGCUCCGCAAGC